rnacentral:rRNA from 1 species
GAUGAACGCUAGCUACAGGCUUAACACAUGCAAGUCGAGGGGAAACGAUGAGAGAGCUUGCUCUCUUAGGCGUCGACCGGCGCACGGGUGAGUAACGCGUAUCCAACCUACCCAUUACAGGGGGAUAACCUUGCGAAAGUAAGACUAAUACCCCAUGGCAUUCUAUGGUGGCAUCAUUAUAGGAUUAAAGAUUUAUUGGUAAUGGAUGGGGAUGCGUCUGAUUAGCUUGUUGGCGGGGUAACGGCCCACCAAGGCAACGAUCAGUAGGGGUUCUGAGAGGAAGGUCCCCCACAUUGGAACUGAGACACGGUCCAAACUCCUACGGGAGGCAGCAGUGAGGAAGAUUGGUCAAUGGGCGAGAGCUUGAACCAGCCAAGUAGCGUGCAGGAUGACGGCCCUAUGGGUUGUAAACUGCUUUUAUAGGGGAAUAAAGUGAGCUACGUGUAGUUUAUUGCAUGUACCCUAUGAAUAAGGACCGGCUAAUUCCGUG